UAAAAACCUGCUCGCGAAAUAAAUAAAUAAAUAAUGCAUCCAAUCACAAUCCUGUGUGUUUCACCAUCAGAGCAAACCUAGCCAAUCUAAAUCCUCCAUGCUUCACACGUGAUAUCACGUUUACCCAAUCACAAUCUUGAAUACGAGAACGGUUAUUUACAUUUCUACCCAUAUUCCGAUGAAUCCCGCCUCCAGCGCUGUGAUUGGUUAACACCGACCCAUUUUUGCGCUCCGAUUGGCUGUUCGGGUUACAUCCUAAUCCUGAAUACGAGUGGAAUAAAAAUAACAACACGUCUGAAUUUGAAGCAGCGAGAUACUCGGUCCAAUCUGUUAAACUCCGGCAACAGUGACGCCCAGAAAAAAGACCAGAACAAAGAAGCAUAAGAAAGAGCGAAAGUAACGCAGAUCGUCAUCGUCCUCCAGCGAGGAUCAGGGGACAGAGAGAGACACAGAAGCAGUCGCAGGGACAAAAACAAGCAUGUGAGCAGGCUUGUUGUUACGACGCUUCUACUGAGUGCACAGAAACCAGUGAUAAUGAUUAUGAGAUGCAGAUAGUUGAGGAGCUGCAUCUGGCUCGCUCCAACAGACAACUGCACGUGAAGGUGGAGAAGAGUUACGGAGAGCUGACCAGCAUGGACGUAGACCCGGCAGACGAGAGCGCCACCAUUGCACUCAGAAAUGUCACCACUGGGUAAAUGGGCGUGCAUGAAAACGUACAAUCGAGUCGAGUUUGAAAAUGAAAUGCAACGCGUUGCAAAUACAGUUGUGCCCAAAAGUUUACACACCCCUUGUUGAAUCUGCAAAAUCUUAAUACUUUUAACAAAAUAAGAUGGAUCAUAAAAAUCCCCUGUUAUUUUUUAUUUAGUACAGUCUUUAAUAAGCGUUUUCACAUGACAGAUGUUUACAUAUAGAUAAUAGCUGAAUUUAUAAAAAUUACCCCGUUCAAAAGUUUACACACGCUUGAUUAUUAAUACUGUGUGUUGUUACCUGGAUGAUCAACGACUGUGUUUGUUUUGUGAUGGUUGUUCACGAGUCCCUUGUUUGUCCUGAGCAGUUAAACUGCCCACUGUUCUUCAGAAAAAUCCUCCAGGUCCUGCACAUUCUUUAGUUUUCCAGCAUCUUCUGCACGUUUGAGCCAUUUACAACAGCAACUAUAUGGUUUAAUAUCCAUCUUUACACACUGAGGACAACUGAGGGACUCGUACACGACUAUUACAGAAGGUGCAAAAGUUCACUGAUUCUCAAGAAGGCAACACGAUACAUUAAGAACCAGGGGGGUGUAAACUAUUGAACAGGAUGAUCGGUGUAAAUCAUUUUUUUGUCUUCUGAGAAACAUGUAAAUAUCUUAUUUAGCUUCUGAAGGGCAGUACUAAAUGAAAAAAUAAGAUCUUCAAACAAAAUAAUAAUAAUUUACACAGAUCAUCCUGUUCAAAAGUUUACCCCCCCCAGCUCUUAAUGUAUUGUUUUUGCCUUCUUGAGCAUCAGGGAAUGCUUGCACCUGAUAUAAUAAGGAGUACGUGAGUAAAAAUGUGUGUGUAUGACUAUGUUUGAGCAUACCGAACUCUACUGGACUCUAUUGUACUCUCUUGCACAAACUAUUAGACCAAAUCAAAAUGUGUCCAUGUAGGCUAGCGCUUUGCUGUUUCAUACGUGUGUGUGUGUGUGUGUGUGUGUGUGUGUGUGUGUGUGUGUGUGUGUGUGUGUGUGUGUGUUUGUGUGUUUGU